GUGAGGAAUAUUGGUCAAUGGGCGAGAGCCUGAACCAGCCAAGUCGCGUGAAGGAAGAAGGAUCUAUGGUUCGUAAACUUCUUUUGCAGGGGAAUAAAGUGCGGGACGUGUCCUGUUUUGUAUGUACCCUGAGAAUAAGGAUCGGCUAACUCCGUGCCAGCAGCCGCGGUAAUACGGAGGAUCCGAGCGUUAUCCGGAUUUAUUGGGUUUAAAGGGUGCGUAGGUGGUUUGAUAAGUCAGCGGUGAAAGUUUGCAGCUUAACUGUAAAAAUGCCGUUGAAACUGUCGGACUUGAGUGUAAAUGAGGUAGGCGGAAUGUGUGGUGUAGCGGUGAAAUGCAUAGAUAUCACGCAGAACUCCGAUUGCGAAGGCAGCUUACUAAGCUACAACUGACACUGAAGCACGAAAGCGUGGGGAUCAAACAGGAUUAGAAACCCGUGUAGUCC
rnacentral:rRNA from 1 species